GUCUAUUUUUCCCUGUCGUCGGGGAGCGCAGCGAUGCAGGCCCGACGGUUCGUCGAUCUCGGUCGACGUUUGCUCGCCUCUUCCCGUCCUGCCCUCUACCCCCUCCCUCCGGAAUGCCUCCGAUCAGUGGCGUUCCCCGUGAACCCCUCCAACCUCAAGCCUGUUUGCGCUGACGUGCUUCCCCCAGCUCUCCGCAACCGGCCGCCAGGCGAUGCAAGCUCGUUUUUAUGCGGCAAAGGAAAGAUCGAGAGCCCCGCUCACGCCAGUUACUGAUUUGACUUCAUGUUGUUAAAGGCGAUGCAAGCUCGUUUUUAUGCGGAAAAGGAAAGAUCGAGAGCCCCGCUCACGCCAGUUACUUCUAAAGUGAAGAAAGACAAGCUCAAGUCUUACUCGUCUUUUAAGUUCAGAUUUAGGACCAUGAACGAUGGACAAAUACGGAGAUGGAGGGCUGGAAAGCGGCAUAAUGCACACUUGAAGUCAAAGAAGGCAAAACGGAGACUCAGGAGACCUGAGAUUGUGCAUGCGGCUUAUGCAAAGGUUAUGAAGAAGCUGAACUUUUGUGCUUAGGACCGAAAAGCGUGAUUAUUCUUCUGACAAAGAUUGUGCUUCGAUUAGUAACCCUCAGGUUGUCUCAAUGCAACAUAUCCGGGCCAAGUUUGGCAUUCAGCUGCUUAAAGAUCCAGGACUUCGAAUCAUAACCCUCAUGUUGUCCCUGGGCUUUUUCUUAUUUGAGAGGGAAACAAUUAAGCAGCAGACUGUCAUUUUGUCUUAUAUUCCUGGUAAUUGAAACAAGUCCUUGUUCUUUAGUAAUUUGAUUGCAAUGUGAAUUGACAUAAACUUACAUAUAGUCUGACUGUGUAAGCAU